CCUGGCCAGCUCUCGUCUG
rnacentral:misc_RNA from 1 species